GACGAACCGAGCGAACGUUGUUCGGAAUCACUGGGCUUAAAGGGCGCGUAGACGGGCUGUCAAGUCUGGGGUGAAAUCCCGCGGCUCAACCGAGGAACUGCGCCCAAAACUACCGUGCUCGAGGAAGAUAGAGGUGAGCGGAACUUAGGGUGGAGCGGUGAAAUGCGUUGAUAUCCUAAGGAACACCGGUGGCGAAAGCGGCUCACUGGAUCUUUUCUGACGCUGAGGCACGAAAGCUAGGGUAGCGAACGGG
rnacentral:rRNA from 1 species